CUACUACUCCCUUUGUCCGAAAAAACUUGUCCCAAGCUUGUCCCUCAAAUAGAUGUAUCUAGCAUUAAUUUGGUGCUAGAUAAAUUCAUUUAAGAGACAAGCUUUUUCGGACAGAGGGAGUAGUUA
rfam:Triticum aestivum genome assembly, contig: Triticum_aestivum_CS42_TGACv1_scaffold_621712_7DS